rnacentral:rRNA from 1 species
CACGGAGUUAGCCGAUGCUUUUUCUUCAGGUACACUCAUCCGGGGACGCGUCCCCGUCUUUGUUCCCUGACAAAAGAGGUUUACGAUACUCUGUACCUUCCUCCCUCACGCGGCUUGGCUGGUUCAGUCUCCCGACCAUUGACCAAUAUUCCUCACUGCUGCCUCCCGUAGGAGUCUGGUCCGUGUCUCAGUACCAGUGUGGGGGACCUUCCUCUCAGAACCCCUACGCAUCGUCGGUUAGGUGGGCCGUUACCCCCGCCUACUGCCUAAUGCGCCGCAUGCCCAUCCCUGUCCGGCCGAAGCCUUUCCUGCCUCCGGGAUGCCCCGGUGGCAUGUACGCGGGUUUAGCCCGCCUUUCGGCGGGUUGUCCCCCUGACAGGGGCAGGUUGCAUACGUGUUACUCACCCGUGCGCCGGUCGCCGGCGGAGAAAGCAAGCUUCCUCCCCGCUGCCCCUCGACUUGCAUGUGUUAAGCCUGCCGCUAGCGUUCAUCCUGAGCCAGGAUCAAACUCU